ACGCUGGCCGCGCGCCUAACACAUGCAAGUCGAACGAGAAAGCCGGGGCAACCUGGUGAGUACAGUGGCGUACGGGUGAGUAACACGUGGAUGAUCUACCUCUGGGUGGGGAAUAACCCUGGGAAACCGGGGCUAAUACCGCAUAAUCCGCUCCUGCAAAGGGGAUGGAAAAGUCGAAAGACGCCGGGAGAGGAGUCCGCGGCCGAUUAGCUAGUUGGCAGGGUAAAAGCCUACCAAGGCUUGGAUCGGUAGCCGGCCUGAGAGGGCACACGGCCACACUGGCACUGAAACACGGGCCAGACUCCUACGGGAGGCAGCAGUGGG
rnacentral:rRNA from 1 species